rnacentral:rRNA from 1 species
AUUGAACGCUGGCGGCGUGCUUAACACAUGCAAGUCGUGCGGUAACAGGCGUAGCAAUACGUGCUGACGAGCGGCGAACGGGUGCGUAAUACAUGGGAAUCUGCCCUUUAGUGGGGAAUAACCCGGCGAAAGCCGGGCUAAUGCCGCAUAAGAUCUUCGGAUGGAAAGCGGGGGGAUCGUAAGACCUCGCGCUGUUGGAUGAGCCCAUGUCGGAUUAGCUAGNGGUGAGGUAACGGCUCACCAAGGCGACGAUCCGUAGCUGGUCUGAGAGGACGGCCAGCCACACUGGGACUGAGACACGGCCCAGACUCCUACGGGGAGGCAGCAGUGGGGAAUAUUGGACAAGUGGGGGAAACCCUGAUCCAGCGACGCCGCGUGUGUGAAGAAGGCCUGCGGGUU